GUUAGAACAGCUGCUGCUGCUUCCUCUGUGAGAGGAACUAUAAAAUCAUUUUAGGAUUCCACCACGAAACAAACAAAACCACCACCGCCACAGAAGAUCAGAGGAAAAGAUUUAUUGUUCUGUCAUUUAUUUCUAGGCAUAUCGGGCUACGAACAAACACAGUUUUGGACACAGUGUAAGGAUAUGAAAACAAUGGCAUACAAUUUAUUUACAGAGCUUUCUUACAACUGCACUACUAAGACAUUUUAGAGCUAACUGGGUCCCUAUGCUCCCUAUCUACUCUAUCUCUUGCUGGACGAGUCUCUCUCUGGGCACAUCACACCAGACGGGCGCUGUCAGCUGGCGCUCUCCUCUUCAGUCCAGUUCUUCCUCGGCUGUUUUGGACAUCAACUCUGUCAAAGCUCGGCUUACAGGAGAAGAGUAACUGAAAUGCAAAGGAGAAAAGGCAGUCGCCCUCGUGUCAAAACAAAAAAUCAGAAGGAUAAGAGAAGAAAGACUUUGAAUUGCAAAAACAAAGAAACCUGUAUAGAAAAACAUCUGUGAUUUGGUUUCAACCUCCAAUUCAGGGCAAAGCAUUCAGAGACUGUCAGAGCCCCGCCGGUGUUUCCACCCGAGAUGUGCCCUCAGUGAUGAAGAUGCAGAACGUCUCUGGCCAUCCUCACCUCCUCCGCUGCCCCAGGCUCACCUCAUGGGAACGCCCCUCCCAGCCAGGAGGAGGUGCUGGGAGCUGGGCCAUGCGCACACACACAGCCAUACCUAGCUCUGAGCAGAAGGUGCGUCCUCUUCCCUGUGAUGCUCUGCUGGCAGGACGGGUGUUCCCAGAGCUGCUGUUCUUCUGCCGGCGCUGAAGCAGCAUCAGGCGUUGGUCCUCAUCACAUGCUGGAGGGGAGAGUGGUGUCCCAGGACGCAAUGGCUCAUCUGAAACAGAGAUUAAGUUCUUUUUAGCAACUUCUUAUAUCACAGGCUAUAAAUUAACUAUCUCCCAGUCACCCAUCUUUCUAUCCUGCAUCCCCCUAUCAGCUAUCUGGCUAUGAUCUAACUACAUUGCUACUAACUCUUGCUUGCUGCUAACUACCUUGCUAUUCACAAACCACCUCUCUACCAAUAACCCAUCUUGCUCUCUGCUAUCUGUUUACUACCUGUAUACCACCAUCAGCUGUCUAUCUCACUAUCUACGUCACUAUCAACUAAUCUACGUCGCUAUCAACUAAUCUACAUCGCUAUCAACUAUCAUCAUACCCUCUAACUAUCUAUACAACAACUAUCUCUAUAUCCUCUUCUUCAUCAUCUACAUCUACCGGCCCCUGAUCCCUCCCGGGGCUGCUCUCCUCCCGUCCCUCACACUGCCCGCUCUGGGCUGCCAGCCCGUGAUCUCCCUGCUGGUAGGUGAGGCUGCUGGGGGCUACUGGGGGCUGAGAUGGAAGCCGGGGGCUGCAGCACGGCCAGAGGAGGGGCUGCCGCCAAGGAAGCCAGGGGCUGCAGCACGGCCAGAGGGGCUGCAGCCACCACCGGCCCCAGCAGCACGGGCACUGCCAGCCAGGGGUGGCAAGGGCAGGCAGGGCGGCCCAGGGAGCC
ensembl:lncRNA